AAGUCUCAGUUCGGAUUGAAGGCUGAAAUUCGCCUUCAUGAAGCCGGAAUUGCUAGUAAUGGCAGGUCAGCAUACUGCCGUGAAUACGUUCCCGGGUCUUGUACACACCGCCCGUCACACCAUGGGAGCCGGUAACGCCCGAAGUCAGUGACCCAACCGAGAGGAGGGAGCUGCCGAAGGCGGGACAGGUAACUGGGGUGAAGUCGUAACAAGGUAUC
rnacentral:rRNA from 1 species